rnacentral:rRNA from 1 species
GUACACGCUGUGACUAGCAUAUCAAUAAGCGGAGGAAAAGAAACUAACAAGGAUUCCCCUAGUAACGGCGAGUGAAGCGGGAAGAGCUCAAAUUUGAAAUCUUAAAGGGUUUCCCUUUACGAAUUGUAGUUUAAAGAAGUGUUUUCUGUUGAGGUUUUGGUAAAAGUUCUUAGGAAUAGGACAUCAUAGAGGGUGAGAAUCCCGUAUUUGACCUUUACUUUCAACUUUGUGAUACACUUUCAAAGAGUCGGAUUGUUUGGGAAUGCAGUCCAAAAUGGGUGGUAAAUUUCAUCUAAAGCUAAAUAUUGGCGAGAGACCGAUAGCGAACAAGUACCGUGAGGGAAAGAUGAAAAGAACUUUGAAAAGAGAGUUAAACAGUACGUGAAAUUGUCAAAAGGGAAGCGUUUGACACCAGUGUUGUUUUUCUGAAAAUCAAUUAAAGAACUGUUUAUGCUAAGUUGUUUAGACUUUAUCAGCUAACUGUUUAGUUUUGAGCUUUUCUUUAAUGCACUUUUCAGUUAACAAGUCAACAUCAAUUUCUUUUGCUGUAAAAAAGCUUGAGGAAGGUGGCUUGAGAUUCGUCUUAAGUGUUUAUAGCCUCUUGCCUAUGCAGUCGGAGAGAUUGAGGUCUGCAGCGUAGAUCCUUCGGGGCUAAAUGCAUUUGUGCUAAGUUAUAGCAUUUUAUAGACAACUUGUUGACUAUGAUUUGUCUUGUAGCUUACUCGCUUAUGUUAUUUUACCUACGCUUAGGAUGUUGAGUCGUAGAGCACGCAG